UACGUAGGGUGCGAGCGUUGUCCGGAAUUAUUGGGCGUAAAGAGCUCGUAGGCGGUUCGGUAAGUCGGGUGUGAAAUCUCCGUGCUCAACACGGAGCGGCCACCUGAUACUGCCGUGACUCGAGUCCGGUAGGGGAGUGUGGAAUUCCCGGUGUAGCGGUGAAAUGCGCAGAUAUCAGGAGGAACACCGGUGGCGAAGGCGGUUCUCUGGGCAUUACCUGACGCUGAGGAGCGAAAGUGUGGGGAGCGAACAGG
rnacentral:rRNA from 1 species